CUCCUGCAGCAGAAGACAGUCACAAUUUCAGGUUGCCUGGUUUUAAAGCAAUUAUACCUCUGGGGGAUCUUGUUGUGUCUGAUUUCUAAAUGCUGGUUGUUUAUAGAAUUACUGCUCAGAUCCCUUUAGUUCGAAAUGAGCAUGCCAAUGAAACUAAGACGAGAAGCUGCACUCCUAAAUUGGAUUAUCGGCUUUCCUGGUGGACCCACUUGCACGGGCCCUCCUCUGCAAAGUUGCCAGUGAUUCGCGGCAGUUUAGUGCGAUGGCUUACGUGGAUAGUCAGGACAAGGUGCAUCUAGUUAACUUCUUAGUGAUUCUGUGUCUUGGGGAUGCCUGUUGCCACAGUAACAGACCAACAGACCUUCCCUGCCUGUUUAAAUUGGCUCUUAAUUUUUAUUUAAACUGUAUUGAGAGGAGGGUACGAUCCAACUCUCAGUUCUAAAUUGGCAUUCUCCAAGACAAACAUUUUAAAAGAACAAAGCCAAAACAUUCAGGAAAUUGUCUCUUUCUUCCUCUGCUGUCUGCUGUUUGGAAAUCCCUUUUCUAUUUUCCUUUGUAACAUGGAGUUGUAAUCAAUACAGCUAUUUUUCUACAAUAGCAAUUCAUACAGCUUGUUUUCAUGCCUCUCUCUUUUUGUUGUUAUUGUUUGGCACUGACAUAAUUGAUGAAUGUCAACACAACUGGCGGAUGGAUUGGCAUCUUUGAAAUAACUGCUGCUACUGAGGCCCACAGAGGCAGGACACAGGUGCCAUUUCCCACCUGGAAGAAAAGGUAAGAAUGUGGCCACCAAUCUUCAGCCUGAUGAAACUGUACCGGUGCCUAAAGGAUCUUUCCUAUAAAUCAAGACCAAAAACGGAUAAAUCAAAAGCAAAGGAGCCAUGUACUUCAUGUUCAGAAUUUGCAAUGGUUGAAAGUCACGAUUAAAAAUAAAUGAAGACAAUAUUACAUCAAAACCAUUCCAAAGCUCAAAGAAGGGUGUAGCUGUUACCAUGGAGCCCACCGAGGGGCUUGCCAGCAGAGCUUGGCAGAGCUGCCUGGACAAAAUGGGCUGAACUUUUGUUUUCUACAGAAGCAGUAAGACUCCAAAGCCUAUGUUGACAGGUGCCUUACUACAUCAGUAUCCCCUGAGCAUCAUCACCACCACAAACAAAUCUCUUUGGAGUGUCUCCCAGCCCUUGCUAGUUAUCCUGUAGCAUCUAACCCAUUGUCUACUUACCAGCAACUCAAUCAAAUUUGAUGGACCAGUGAUGGAUUGAGAGUUCUGGCACAUCCAGGCACCUUUGUGUCUUCUCUUUGGUGAGGACAAGUACUUCAAAGAAGUUAUGGACAACAGUGCCUUCUUCACUAGCAAGACGAAGACAGCUGAAACUCCAGAGCGUUCACAGAAAGGGUUGUGUAAUGAAGGAACCAAUUUUAGCACCUCUACUGAGAAUUACACAACAGUCAACUCUGUGAAUCAAUUUGAUUGAAACAUUCUCUUUCUGAGUCCUAACAUCCCCUACUUUGAAAUUUUGUGGCAAUUUUGUUUGGUUUUUAAUUGGUUCUUAUUGGCUCUUUCAAUAGUAUAACUUAUUUACCUGCUUUUGAAAAAAAUUUUCCUUUAGUAAAUGCCUUAAAAAUAUAGUCUUCAAAUAUACCAGAAUAAUCUUGCAAUUGACAAAGACAAUCAUCUUGUUCAUAAAUAAUGCUUCAGUUUCAACAUUAUUUAUGUAGUGAUGCUCCAGAAUGUUCUCCAGAUCUUUCCAGGAAUCUAUGAAUUGUGAUAUGUGCUUUUAAGAAAACUUCACAUAAAGUUCUCCAUUCUUGCUUUA